rfam:TPA: Bos taurus chromosome 17, whole genome shotgun sequence.
UCCCAGAUGGCUCAGUGGUAAAGCAUCUGCCUGCCAAGCAGGAGAUGACUCGGGUGUGAUCCCUGGGUUGGGAA